UACAGAGGUCUCAAGCGUUGUUCGGAUUCAUUGGGCGUAAAGGGUGCGUAGGCGGCGCGGUAAGUCGGGUGUGAAAUCUUGGAGCUUAACUCCGAAACUGCAUUCGAUACUGCCGUGCUUGAGGACUGGAGAGGAGACUGGAAUUUACGGUGUAGCGGUGAAAUGCGUAGAUAUCGUAAGGAAGACCAGUGGCGAAGGCGGGUCUCUGGACAGUUCCUGACGGCUGGAGGCACGAAGGCCAGGGGAGCAAAACGGG
rnacentral:rRNA from 1 species